rnacentral:rRNA from 1 species
UACGAAGGGGGCUAGCGUUGCUCGGAAUCACUGGGCGUAAAGGGUGCGUAGGCGGGUCUUUAAGUCAGGGGUGAAAUCCUGGAGCUCAACUCCAGAACUGCCUUUGAUACUGAAGAUCUUGAGUUCGGGAGAGGUGAGUGGAACUGCGAGUGUAGAGGUGAAAUUCGUAGAUAUUCGCAAGAACACCAGUGGCGAAGGCGGCUCUCUGGGGACCACCUGACGCUGAGGCGCGAAAGCGUGGGGAGCAAACAGG